rnacentral:rRNA from 1 species
UAGGGAAUCUUCGGCAAUGGACGGAAGUCUGACCGAGCAACGCCGCGUGAGUGAAGAAGGUUUUCGGAUCGUAAAGCUCUGUUGUAAGAGAAGAACGAGUGUGAGAGUGGAAAGUUCACACUGUGACGGUAUCUUACCAGAAAGGGACGGCUAACUACGUGCCAGCAGCCGCGGUAAUACGUAGGUCCCGAGCGUUGUCCGGAUUUAUUGGGCGUAAAGCGAGCGCAGGCGGUUAGAUAAGUCUGAAGUUAAAGGCUGUGGCUUAACCAUAGUACGCUUUGGAAACUGUUUAACUUGAGUGCAAGAGGGGAGAGUGGAAUUCCAUGUGUAGCGGUGAAAUGCGUAGAUAUAUGGAGGAACACCGGUGGCGAAAGCGGCUCUCUGGCUUGUAACUGACGGUGAGGCUCGAAAGCGUGGGGAGCAAACAGGAUUAGAUACCCUGGUAGUCCACGCCGUAAACGAUGAGUGCUAGGUGUUAGACCCUUUCCGGGGUUUAGUGCCGCAGCUAACGCAUUAAGCACUCCGCCUGGGGAGUACGACCGCAAGGUUG